UCCGAGUUGACCCCGGCAGUCUCCCAUGAGUCCCCGCCAUUACGCGCUGGCAACAUGGAACGAGGGUUGCGCUCGUUGCGGGACUUAACCCAACAUCUCACGGCACGAGCUGACGACAGCCAUGCAGCACCUGUGCAGGGCCCCGAAGGACACGGGCUUUCACCCGCUUUACCCUGCAUGUCAAGCCCAGGUAAGGUUCUUCGCGUUGCAUCGAAUUAAACCACACGCUCCGCUGCCUGUGCGGGCCCCCGUCAAUUCCUUUGAGUUUUAGCCUCGCGGCCGUACUCCCCAGGCGGGGUGCUUAAUGCGUUAGCUUCGGCACGGAGAGGGUUGAAGACCUCCCCACACCUAGCACCCAACGUUUACGGCUGGGACUAC
rnacentral:misc_RNA from 1 species